rnacentral:rRNA from 1 species
UACGUAGGGACCAAGCGUUGUCCGGAAUCAUUGGGCGUAAAGCGCGCGUAGGUGGCCAUUUAAGUCCGCUGUGAAAGUCAAAGGCUCAACCUUUGAAAGCCGGUGGAUACUGGAUGGCUAGAGUACGGAAGAGGCGAGUGGAAUUCCUGGUGUAGCGGUGGAAUGCGCAGAUAUCAGGAGGAACACCAAUAGCGAAGGCAGCUCGCUGGGACGUUACUGACACUGAGGCGCGAAAGCGUGGGGAGCGAACCGG